ensembl:lncRNA
CUGAGGGCACCACAGGGCGAGCCCUUUUCCCCUGGAGGAGUCUCCUCAGGGCCCCUUUCUCGUCCUUGUUCCUCAGGCUGUAGAUGAAGGGGUUCACCAUGGGGGUCACCACGUUGGCUCCAAAUUAGUGACAAGCCCUGAACUGAGGACAAUAUAUGAGAUGGGAGGCACAGUGGACCAGCUCAGGACUGAUACGGCAGGACCAUCCUGCAUCCUCACACGGGACACAGCGUGAGUUGCCCACAGGCCAAGUGGUGGCUGUAGGAGGUCAUUGAGUUCAAGCCUCCUUGUUGGGACUGCAACCAGGAAGAAGCCUUUUGGGGUAGAGGAGGUUAUAGAAUAAGAGAUCAGGGAGGGGCUGUCUUAGGGGCAGUCAUAAAGAGAUCCGGGAGAAAGCUCAUCGCCCUUGUCAAGGAAAUGCUUCGUGGACCAGUCCCUGAAAGGCCUCUGAAGAAUCCCACGUGUUCUCACAAUAGAGCAGGCCUGCCACUCACAACUCACCGUCCCCUAGUAUUCCACGGCAGCAGACAGAAGAUGCCCCCCUUUCCACUGCCAGCCUUCUCCUUGCGGCUCCCUGCAACAUACCCCCACGCUGCAGAGCAGACUCAGCUCAGAAGGGAGGGCGCAGGCUGCGAAGGACGCGAAACUGAAGUUUCUAAUUCGGCUGGGCUUUUG